UUGCGCAAUGGGCGAAAGCCUGACGCAGCAACGCCGUAGUGCGGGAUGAAGGCCUUCGGGCUGUAAACCGCUUUCAGCAGGAACGAAAAUGACGGUACCUGCAGAAGAAGGAGCGGCCAACUACGUGCCAGCAGCCGCGGUGACACGUAGGCUCCAAGCGUUGUCCGGAUUUAUUGGGCGUAAAGAGCUCGUAGGCGGUUUAGUAAGUCGGGUGUUAAAACUCUGGGCUCAACCCGGAGAGGCCAUCCGAUACUGCUGUGACUUGAGUUCAGGAGGGGAGCGGGGAAUUCCUAGUGUAGCGGUGAAAUGCGCAGAUAUUAGGAGGAACACCGGUGGCGAAGGCGCCGCUCUGGACUGAAACUGACGCUGAGGAGCGAAAGCAUGGGUAGCAAACAGGAUUAGAUACCCUGGUAGUCCAUGCCGUAAACGGUGGGCACUAGGUGUGGGUUCCAACUAACGGGAUCCGCGCCGUCGCUAACGCAUUAAGUGCCCCGCCUGGGGAGUAC
rnacentral:rRNA from 1 species